GCCGGUGUAGCUCAGGGGUAGAGCGUUUCCUUGGUAAGGAAGAGGUCAGGGGUUCAAAUCCCCUCAUUGGCUCAA
rnacentral:tRNA from 8 species